AGGGGUGUAGCUCAAUUGGUAGAGCACCGGUCUCCAAAACCGGGGGCUGGGGGUUCGAGACCCUCCACCCCUGCCA
rnacentral:tRNA from 1 species